CCUGGCCCAAUGACCCAUCUCACCACACUCAUAGCAACCCUGUCGAGGGCGACUCCCAGAAAAACGACUACCAUGGCCUGAAGGACCCGACUGAAACACCUCGCGGCCUUGACUCGAACUAGCCUCACUCCGACCACCAUCUGAUGCCUGAAGAGAGGCCUGUGUAGGUCUGCUAGACUGACCCUGUCGAAACCGUCGUCCGACCCUGUCAUGAUAAUCUCUAGACCUGGGGCGGGAGUCACUGUAGCUGCCCUCAUGCCUAGCCCUCUUCUCGCUGCCCCCUUGGGCCUCGCGACGAAGAUGCUCCAUAGUACUAGCAUGGUCAACUACGUCUAAAAAGGAUCGACCUGCAGAAACUAAGGAUUGGGUCUCAAGCCGAAGCUGCAAUCUCAACCCACGAA
rnacentral:lncRNA from 1 species